GAUGAACGCUAGCGGCAGGCUUAAUACAUGCAAGUCGAACGGGAUUGAGAAGCUUGCUUUUCAUGAGAGUGGCGCACGGGUGCGUAACACGUAUGCAACCUGCCUUGUCCAGGGGGAUAGCCCGUUGAAAGACGGAUUAAGACCGCAUAACAUCAUUGAAUGGCAACGUUAAUGAUCAAAUAUUUAUAGGGACAAGAUGGGCAUGCGUCUGAUUAGCUAGUUGGCGGGGUAAUGGCCCACCAAGGCGACGAUCAGUAGGGGAUCUGAGAGGAUGACCCCCCACACUGGUACUGAGACACGGACCAGACUCCUACGGGAGGCAGCAGUAAGGAAUAUUGGUCAAUGGGCGCAAGCCUGAACCAGCCAUGCCGCGUGCAGGAAGACGGCCCUACGGGUUGUAAACUGCUUUUAUACGGGAAUAACCCCGGUUUCGUGAAACCGGCUGAAUGUACCGUAAGAAUAAGGAUCGGCUAACUCCGUGCCAGCCGCCGCAGUAA
rnacentral:rRNA from 1 species